CUAGAAUAACUCAUAAACAAGAAUAACUCAAUAAUGUCCUCGUCGCCGUUACCACACCCAAGCUCUCUGGCUCUUGUUCAUCACCUGUAACACCCUUCCGCCGUUAUCUGCAAAACUUGCUUCAGAUCUAAGUAUGGCUACUCGUGUGUGUGGGGCUCCACACUUAUCCUUGUGGCAAGAUCUGAAACUUCAACACUGCAUCCAAGCCCUUUGGUCCAUGGUCUUCACUCGUCAUUCUCUGGCUUGUUCAAGUGCUCUGAUUUCAACUGUAGAUCUGUCUUCCGAUGUGUACGACUUCUUUCUCGGCAACCAGAUAUGGAAUCACGACGCUCUGUCUCCACCUCCAAUCCAACAGCUCUUUCUUUGCCGGUCAUCUCUUCUGCUCCGGUGAAGACACGUUCCCUUCUCAGACUUGUAUCACCAGCCAUACCAUUCUGCUUCUCUGUAGACAUGAUCUGUUAGCCUCUUCGGCUCUGGACUCUCACCAGAAAAUCCGCUUGCAGCUGCACAUACCGAUGAAUGCUCAUUCUAUCGAAGCUUACUAGACUUCACUGACCAUCGGCUCGGCGUUGGCGCUGGAGUGGGAGUUUUCUGCCUGAACUCAAUGCUUACUCUCUUGGAAUCUAUUGUUAAGCCCAUCUAUCUGUCCGAUGUGAAUAUGAAAAGCUCAGAAGUACGCGUCUCUUUCUUUGGUGCAAUCUUUGGAGUUAACUCCAAAUUUCUAAGCAAAGUUCAUCAUCAACGUCCAACUCCAACAAGUGCUAGUAUCAAAUCAAGUUCAUAUUAGGUUGGAGUCUCUUAAAGCUUGAAGAUUGUAGUACCUUAGUCUUUUUUUCUUUCAAAAUGGCUAGCAAAACUUCAUCAUGCUGGAGCCAUGAGAGAUCCUUUUCCAUCUUCCUCCUCUUUGUAGGAGUGAAAAGUUCCAUCAAAAUUCCUCAUGUGAGGUACUUUUCUUUUGGCUUCAAAGCCAAGAAACUUCGUCGAUUUCCUUACCGCUUCUUGCCUUGUGUAAUGGUUCGUUUGGGACUAAAAGGUACAACGAGACUCAUCCAAAUGAGAAUCGGGGUAUCGUGACGGUGACUAUUUCCACGGUUGAAGAUUUUGAAGGACAAUGUAAUCUCUUUGUGAGUUUGCUCGUGUGUGUGGUACCUUUAGAAUCUCUUUCAACUUAUUAUCAAACUUGUCUAAGUUUGUGUCUCUAUAUCUUCAUGGCCUUGUUUAUAAAAUUUCCAUUAGACCUGCACAUCGAGUUCUUGAUGUUGCUCUUAUCUUUGUAUCAGGUUAAGCUUAUGAAUGAAAAAUUGUUGUGUUAAAAAAAAGUCUUAUACAAAUAAGUUUUACCAAGUAUCUC
rnacentral:lncRNA from 1 species